rnacentral:rRNA from 1 species
GUGCCAGCAGCCGCGGUAAUUCCAGCUCCAAUAGCGUAUAUUAAAGUUGUUGUGGUUAAAAAGCUCGUAGUUGAACCUUGGGCCUGGCUGGCCGGUCCGCCUCACCGCGUGCACUGGUCCGGCCGGGCCUUUCCCUCUGUGGAACCCCAUACCCUUCACUGGGCGUGGCGGGGAAACAGGACAUUUACUUUGAAAAAAUUAGAGUGCUCCAGGCAGGCCUAUGCUCGAAUACAUUAGCAUGGAAUAAUAAAAUAGGACGCGCGGUUCUAUUUUGUUGGUUUAUAGGACCGCCGUAAUGAUUAAUAGGGACAGUCGGGGGCAUCAGUAUUCAACUGUCAGAGGUGAAAUUCUUGGAUCAGUUGAAGACAAACUACUGCGAAAGCAUUUGCCAAGGAUGUUUUCAUUAAUCAGGAACGAAAGUUAGGGGAUCGAAGACGAUCAGAUACCGUCGUAGUCUUAACCAUAAACUAUGCCGACUAGGGAUCGGACGGUGUUAUUCAUGACCCGUUCGGCACCUUACGAGAAAUCAAAGUGCUUGGGCUCCAGGGGGAGUAUGGUCGCAAGGCUGAAACUUAAAGAAAUUGACGGAAGGGCACCACCAGGGGUGGAGCCUGCGGCUUAAUUUGACUCAACACGGGGCAAACUCAUCAGGUCCAGACACAAUAAGGGAUUGACAGAUUGAGAGCUCUUUUCUUGAUUUUGUGGGUGGUGAUGCAUGGCCGUUCUUAGUGGUGGGGUGACUUGUCUGCUUAAUUGCGAUAACGAACGAGACUCUUAACCUGCUAAAAUAGCUCCGCAUUGCUCCGGGCAGUU